AGAUGAAGACAAAGAAGCGACAUAGGAACAGUGCUCCAGAGUGGGGGGCCUACUGUAACCUCAGUGAGCUGGGUGUUUACUGCAUCGAUCGGCGUUACAGCUACCACCUGGAGCCACGCUACAGAGGAUGACUCCUCUCCUCUGUGUGUUUUCCCUCUGCUGAGGUCAUCUUCCUGUUUUUGACCCAUCACCUCUCCUAAAACUCUGUCCUGGGAAAAACUCUCCUGCACAAUGACUGAAUGCCGAGUCUGUUUUCCAGUCACUUGAUUUGUAUUUCCUUCAACUGCAGUUUCAUAGAUUGCCUGUGUGUUUUUAACCUGACCUGUUUUUGAAUAUUGAUGUUGCAGCGUAACCUUUGCUGUCCUGUGACGAGAUGCUCACUCUAACAUGUUUCUUAAAGUCUGGUGAUAUUCUGUAUUUUUCUUAUUUUCAGCAAAUCUCAUGAAAAGACCCAACAAUGAACUGAUCCUAACAUGUAAUGUCAGAGUAGCUGUUGUUGAACAUAUCUUACUCCUCUGCUGAUACAAUACUCACUAGAGCACCAGAUGUGGAUCAAUCCGCCGCUGGAAAUAGUCCCCA